CAGAGUUUUAACUAAUAGACUCCAACACCCACAGCUCAACAGCUUCGCAUUUUCCCUUUUCAUUAAUUUUUCUCCUCUAAACUCACAUGCAUUUACCUUUGUUUUCGGUCACAGCCCACACAUUCACGCUACCUGAUCAAACGCUGGCUCUUUAUUCAAUCAUGCUUCGAGUAACUGGUCUGUGACCGUUACAAUAACUCCACAGGUUGCAAGGAUAUCGUGGCAUCUGGAUUUUGUAAAUUAUUUAUUUAUUUUAACUGAAAAUAAAUAAAUAUUUCCAAUAUUUGAAGGAAACACAUAGAACACCCUCGGGAAGACGUCAAGGCCUUCUCUUUUCCCCCCAAUUGGCUAUUUUCUCAAGCUAUUCUAGAUCGUGAUCACAUCUACUAAAUUUUGUCGAAACUAUAAUUUCGCUUAUUUGGAUUGGUGGGUUUCAUUUAGUUUUUCAUAAUUUGGUUCCAAAUUCUAUACAUUCAAUCUGGUUUUUUUAGUUUUCUUUAAGCUUUUUGACCAUAAUAGCUUUGCUGAUUCCUUCUUGCGUUUUGACAUUUCAAUCAGUUUCAUUCUUUGAAGAGCCAAAAACACAUCUAGGUUCAUGGAACUCCAGUUACUUUUAUUGAUAAUAGCAUUAAGGACACAGUUCUAGUACAGUUUUGUGAAUUUGAACUGUUUUGACCAUUUGGGUCAAUGAGCUUAUUGUAGAUUAUUCAUCAAAACUUAUGGAAAACUGUGAAUAGCUAUGAAUUGUUGUUAAUUGAUUUUUUUUUUCUCUCGUUUGAAUUGGAUUAAGUAGAUUGUAGAGGCUUUGGAUUUCCUUAGAUAAUGGGGGUAAUGUCAAGGCGGGUUCUGCCCGUCUGCGGCAACCUCUGUUUCUUCUGUCCUUCAUUGCGGGCAAGGUCAAGACAGCCCGUUAAGCGUUACAAGAAGUUUCUUGCUGAUAUCUUCCCCCGUAAUCAGGAGGCUGAACCAAAUGAUAGGAAAAUCGGGAAGCUUUGUGAUUAUGCUUCAAAGAACCCAUUACGUAUUCCCAAGAUUACAGAUACGCUGGAGCAAAGAUUUUACAAGGAGUUGCGACAUGGGAACUUUGGAUCUGUGAAAGUUGUGGUGUGCAUUUAUAGGAAAUUGCUGUCGUCAUGUAAGGAACAGAUGCCACUAUUUGCCAGUAGUUUAUUGGGAAUAGUUCGGACUCUUAUGGAGCAAACUGGGCAGGACGAAAUGCAGAUUCUGGCUUGCAAUAUUCUUGUUGAUUUUAUAAAUAGUCAGACGGAUAGCACACAAAUGUUCAACUUAGAAGGCAUCAUUCCUAAGCUGUGUCAAUUGGCUCAAGGUGUGGGUGAUGGUGAAAGAACUCUUCGUUUGCAUUCAGCAGGACUGCAAGCUUUGGCUUCCAUGGUGUCUUUCACGGGUGAGCAUUCCCACAUCUCAAUGGAGUUCGAUAAUAUUAUAUCAGUCACUUUGGAGAACUACAUCGAUCCCCAAAUGAACCCAGACAUUAUUAAUAAGGUUUCCUUGCCAAGCCUUACUACCAAACCUGAGUUGGACAAUACAGUGGAUACUUCAAAAAGUCCAUCUUACUGGUCCAGGGUCUGCUUAUGUAACAUGGCCAGCCUGGCAAAGGAAGCUACAACUGUUCGGCGUGUGCUUGAACCUCUGUUCCGUAAUUUUGAUACUAACAAUCAUUGGCCUCUGGAAAAAGGAGUUGCGUACCCUGUUUUAAUAUAUUUGCAAUCACUUUUGGAGGAAGCAGGAGACAACUCGCAUUUGCUAUUAUCUAACCUGGUCAAGCACUUGGAUCAUAAGAAUGUGUUCAAAGAACCUCUUGUACAAAUAGAUAUUGUUAAUGUUAUCUCACAGCUUGGACAAAAUGCAAAGCAAGAGGUCACAGUUACAGUCAUUGAUGCAAUAUCUGACUUGAUUAAACAUUUGAGAAAAUGCCUUCAAAAUGCAGCUGAAUUAUCUAGCUCUGGAGAUUGUAUUGACAAACAAAAUGCUGAUCUUCAGUUUGCCAUAGAAAAAUGCAUCUUACAGCUCUCAAAUAAGGUUGGAGAUGUGGGACCCAUACUUGAUAAAAUGGCUGUGUUCUUAGAGAAUAUUUCAACUACUACUAUUGUAGCUAGAACGACAAUAUUUUCUGUUCAUCGGGCAGGACAGAUUAUUGCAUCCAUCCCUAACAUAUCAUAUCACAAGAAGGCCUUUCCUGAUGCUUUAUUUCACCAGUUGCUCAUAGCAAUGGCCCAUCCAGACCAUGAGACAAGAGUUGGAGCGCACAGUGUCUUAUCCAUUGUGCUUAUGCCAUCCUUGCUUUCUCUUUGGUCAGACCAGAAUAAGAAAACAUCAGAAGCUAUUUCUGGAUUUUUUGAUACAUUGGAGAAGUCAAUGAGCAAAAGAUUCUCCUUUCAGGAUGAGGGUAAGGAUAACGCAAAAGUCAUGGAUGGAGGAUCGUGGGAGGGAGACAAUCAAAUAUUGGAUGCGGAUGCAAAAAAAUUUAGAAAAAGUGACUCAAGUAGCCAUUCAAAUAGCUUAAAGUCUUCUACCACAGAUGGAAAAACUCAAACUUCUCUACGAUUGAGUAGUCAUCAAGUCAGUCUUUUGCUUUCAUCACUAUGGGUUCAAGCAACAUCUGCUGAGAAUAUGCCUGCAAAUUUUGAGGCCAUGGCACAUUCUUAUAACAUUGCUUUGCUCUAUACUCGGUCUAAGACGUCCAAUCACAUGGCCCUAGCUCGGUGUUUUCAGCUGGCAUUCUCACUUAGGGGCAUCUCUCUGGAUCAAGAAAGAGGUCUACAACCGUCUCGGAGAAGGUCUCUCUUCACCUUGGCAUCAUACAUGCUAAUAUUUUCUGCAAAGGCAGGGAAUUUCCCAGAGCUAAUUCCUAUAGUUAAAGCGUCUCUGACAGAAAAAACAGCUGAUCCUUAUCUUGAGUCAGUGGAAGACAUCAGGCUGCAGACUGUUUAUUUAGAAUCUGAUGGGGGAAAGAUGGUAUAUGGGUCAGAGGAAGACAAUGUUGCUGCAUCACAAUCUCUCUCAGCAAUAAAAUUAGAUGAUCACCACUUGAAGGAAACCUUGAUAUCACAAUUCAUCAAAAAAUUUGCAAAAUUGACAGAGGUUGAGUUAUCGAGAAUAAAGGAACUACUUCUUCAGGAAUUUUUGCCUGAUGAUGUGUAUCCAUUGGGAGCUCCUUUGUUUAUGGAGACACCGAGGCCAUGUUCUUCUCUUGCCCAAGUAGAGGUUCAGGCUUUUGAAGAGAUAAUGCCUGCAGCAUCCUUGACAGAUGAUGAAACUAUCACUGCAGCUAAUGCUAAUGAGAAUCUGUCAGGUCGCAAAACAUCACUUUCUGUCAAUUCGCUAGACAUUCUAAGUGUCAAUGAACUUUUGGAAUCAGUCUUGGAAACUGCACAUCAAGUUGCAAGCUCCCAGAUUUCCU
rnacentral:misc_RNA from 1 species